rnacentral:rRNA from 1 species
UACGUAGGGCGCGAGCGUUGUCCGGAAUUAUUGGGCGUAAAGAGCUCGUAGGCGGCUUGUUGCGUCUGCUGUGAAAUCCCGGGGCUUAACCCCGGGCGUGCAGUGGAUACGGGCAGGCUGGAGGCAGGCAGGGGAGAAUGGAAUUCCCGGUGUAGCGGUGAAAUGCGCAGAUAUCAGGAGGAACACCGGUGGCGAAGGCGGGUCUCUGGGCCGUAACUGACGCUGAGGAGCGAAAGCAUGGGGAGCGAACAGG